rnacentral:sRNA from 1 species
CGGUGUCGAUCUGCUGGGGGCUGAUGAAGUGGAUGUGCGAAUCCAUGCCGCCGGCCGUGACGAUCAACCCUUCGCCCGCCAGCGCCUCGGUGGACGCGCCGAACGUCAGGCCGGGGGUCACACCGUCCAUCACGUCGGGGUUGCCCGCCUUGCCGAUGGCUGAAAUGUAUCCGUUUUUGAUGCCGAUGUCGGCCUUAUAGAUACCGGUAACAUCGAGAAUGAGCGCGUUUGUGAUGAUGAGAUCGGGCACGUCCGUCGCGGAACAGGACUGCCCCAUGCCGUCCCGCAG